UCGAUUAAGAUUUUUGAAGUUUUAGGAAACAUUGUUGAAAAUUCAGGAAAUGAUCAAUAUAUUUUAGGAUGACUUUCGUGACACGAUCUACUUUUUUUUUUUUUUUUUUUUACUACGGGACGUGGGAGAUCCCUUUUCCAACAAAUAUCAAACUACCUAAGCUCUAACAUAAGAGAGGAGACAAGAUUUAAAUAUUAAAUAAACUGGUUUACGAACCAUGAUUAUAUCAAGGAGUCAAAAGCAUACUUAACUUUUUGUUUGUAAUCAUCUAUCUUGGAUUGUAU
rnacentral:lncRNA from 1 species